rnacentral:rRNA from 1 species
AAAAUAUCUAUCCUCCCUCUAAGCCUAGGUAGAAAACUAAGUUAUAAGACAAGGAUGAACACGAUAUAUGGUACUUUUUAAAAUCUGGUUCCCAAAGAAAUAAAACAUUUUAAAAAGAAUUUUAAAAUAAUGUAUUUAGCUUAUGCUGAGUAUAUAUUAGUGAGCAACUAAUUUAAAAAUAUUUAAGGAAUAAUAGUCCCCUCUGUUAUAAUAAAUUACUAUUGACCCAAUUUAUUUAUUAAGCUUCUCUUCUUAUUUGGGUAAUUAAUUCUAAGAAUUAGAACUUGUUACACUAGUAAAUAUACUUUUAUUAUUUUCUUACUUAAAUAAGUUUUAUCAAUUUUAAAUUAAAUAUAAACUAAAUAACUUGAGAUUCUCCAAACUGUUUAACAAAGACAUAGUAAGACUGUGUCUUAUGUAUCUGCCCAAUGAAUAAUUUUUUAUGGCUUUAAAGUAGCGCAAUAAUUAGUUUAUUAAUUGUAAACCUGUAUGAAGCUAGCAUUGGUUAAUCAUGUUUAUUCUUAUCUGUUGAAUCUUAGUUAUCAGUACAAACGCUGAUAUGCUCCCCGAAGACGAUAAGACCCUAAGACCUUCACCUUGUUUGGCUGGGAUAGCCUACUUAAUAUAAUAAAGAAACCUUAAUUAUUACGAACCAAUUAUUUUGCUAUACAUAGGUACCUUAGGGAUAACAGCGCGUAAUACUUUUAGAGCUCUUAUUUAAAAGAUAUUCGUGACCUCGAUGUUGAAUUAAGUAAUAUAGUGCUGCAGAAGGUGCUAUUUUAAGUCUGUUCGACU